GAUGAACGCUGGCGGCGUGCCUAACACAUGCAAGUCGAGCGAUUCCCUUCGGAGAAGAGCGGCGGACGGGUGAGUAACGCGUGGGUAACCUGCCCUGUACACACGGAUAACAUACCGAACGGUAUGCUAAUACGAGAUAAUAUGCUUUUAUCGCAUGGUAGAAGUAUCAAAGUUUUUGCGGUACAGGAUGGACCCGCGUCUGAUUAGCUAGUUGGUAAGGUAACGGCUUACCAAGGCGACGAUCAGUAGUCGACCUGAGAGGGUGAUCGGCCACAUUGGAACUGAGACACGGUCCAAACUCCUACGGGAGGCAGCAGUGGGGAAUAUUGCACAAUGGGCGAAAGCCUGAUGCAGCAACGCCGCGUGAGCGAUGAAGGCCUUCGGGUCGUAAAGCUCUGUCCUCAAGGAAGAUAAUGACGGUACUUGAGGAGGAAGCCCCGGCUAACUACGUGCCAGCAGCCGCCGUAA
rnacentral:rRNA from 1 species